rnacentral:rRNA from 1 species
GUCUUGUAAUUGGAAUGAUGGUGACGUAAAAUCUCACCAGAGUAACAAUUGGAGGGCAAGUCUGGUGCCAGCAGCCGCGGUAAUUCCAGCUCCAAUAGCGUAUAUUAAACUUGUUGCAGUUAAAAAGCUCGUAGUUGAAUUUCUGCGUUGCCCGACUCGGCUACUUGCCUUGUCUGGUUUCGCUUUUGGGGUUUUCCCCUUUUUACUUUGAGAAAAUUAGAGUGUUUCAAGCAGACUUGUGUCUUGAAUACUUCAGCAUGGAAUAAUAAAGUAGGACUUUGGUUCUAUUUUGUUGGUUUGUGAACCUUAGUAAUGGUUAAUAGGAACGGUUGGGGGCAUUCGUAUUUAACUGUCAGAGGUGAAAUUCUUAGAUUUGUUAAAGACGAACUACUGCGAAAGCAUUUGCCAAGGACGUUUUCAUUAAUCAAGAACGAAAGUUAGGGGAUCGAAGACGAUCAGAUACCGUCGUAGUCCUAACCAUAAAC